CUGCAGCUUUUACGAGAACUACCACUGCUCCUACUAUCAACAGCACCAUAGAAGCUCCUACUUCCACAACCAUAACUGAAGCUUCUAUAACCACCACAACUGUAUCUUCUACUAUGACAACCACAACUUCAGCUGCCAUAAUGACAACUACAAAUGCAGCUCCAACAAUGGCAACUCCAGCUCUUACAACCACCACCACCACUGUAGCUUCUAGCAUGGCAAUUCAACCUGCAGGUCCUACAACAACGACCACAACUGUUUCUCCAACAAUGACUGCAACUGCAGCACCUACAAGUACAACCACAAUUGCACUUCCAACUUUUACCUCAACUUCUAUGGCUUCAGUGACAUCAACAACCAGAUUUGGCACAGUGAUGGUUUUUGUUAGGCUGGUGUUCCAGCUCAACACACCAGUCCCCACUGAGGAUGAUGUCCUUGGUGUCAUCAACGAGCAACUGUCUCGCCAAUUGAACAUUCAGAGAAACACUCAAACCACCUUCCAGAAUGCAACUUAUAUCAAACUUACACAUACUUCAUUUGCCAUCGAUCUUGGUUUCAAAAUAACCAAUGUCACCAUGGA